CUCAUGCUUGAUCAGCCUGCACUGUAUGGACUCCUUCAGGCUUCUGCAUUCAAUGGGUUCUCUCUCCAGCGCUCCUCUGUUGACAGUACAGGUAAGAAGUGCGGCUUGCCGCACCCCUGCGGGUGCGGUCAUUCUCAACCCGGUAAUAAAGCGAUCAGAAAAUAAUGUAAGAACAUCAACAAGCAACAAUGCAAUGAACAAAAGAGCUAAAGGCAAAUACAUAAGAAACAAAGAUCAACUUCUUACAGGGAACAUAACAUGAAAACCGAUGCAUUUAUUAGUUUGGACCAGACCAGUUGCCCUAGAAAACUGAAUUGCCCAUCACAAAGUUCAAGGACACUACAAAUUUGCUAUAGAGCAAUCCCUGUCAUUUCACUAUUCUGCUGGCAAUAUUGGGAUCACAAAUUCAGUAAAUUUAGUAACUGAAUAUAUCACCGCACUUUUCAGCAUAUAGUUUCCUGCUUAUUUGUACCAAGGAGAGCUCUCGGGUAUAGGUGUGAGACCAAGUUGUAUUUAAGACCGCACAUGGAAAAGUUGUGUAUGGAAAGAACAACAUGGACAUGUGAUAGGUUGUACACGUGUCCGAGGUUACAUAAAGUACACAUGAGGCGACUUUACAUCACUGAUAUGUUAGCCAGUUCAUCCUAAUAUAGACUAAUGCAACCUGACCUUACAUACUAAACUGGCCAAAAGGGUGCAACAACCAUCUUGGAUAUAGAACUAUAGACUACCUGUAUAUGAUAUGAUUGGGGAAGAGCUAAUACUAAGUACUAUUAGGUAACUACUUGGAUAACCAUCACAUCUUACCAUCAGCCUUAGUCUAUCGAGAUUCCUGAAAGUAAAUACCACGUAGCCAUGUGAGUGGUUAGGAAACAUAUUUUUAAUACAUUGCAGUUUAGCAUAAUUUACCGGAGCUAAAUUACAUAAAUUUCUAUAGCUCUUUAUCCCUAUAGUUGAAAACAAUGUGAAACAAUACAAAUAAGAGGAAAAUGAGGUAUCAUUUGGAAACACAAACUUUGGAAGCCCUCAACUACACCGAAUGGAAAUACAUGAUGAUGCUAAGCACCAUACCAUGAUAGGGAACAUGGCUCUGGUGUCGAUACACAUUGUAGCAGAAGUUUCCACUGCAGAGGUAGUACACAUAAAACCAUGGUGGCGCAGGGAGUCUCUGGCAAGAAAAAACCACAAGAUCCAGUCAAGCCAACUGCAUGAAGGUGGAGACAUGGCAGCAGGGUUCGCACAAUAAACUCAAUUCAAAUCCUUUAAAGCAUCUAGUUAGCUCGCCUGCUCACCAAAAAGAAUAAAUGAAAAAAUAAAAACCAGCCUUGCAUUAUAGUACGGUGGAAACCGGGCUUGCAAUAAACUCCCAAGUGCUUGGUUUAUGGAAAAGGAUUAAAAGACACCAGGUUUACAUCAUCAAUUUACUGGUGGCACCAUGGACCCAAAAGCUUGUGCGAUUGUCGGCGAUGCAGUGGAGAAAAGCUUCCUCUGUGUGAGUGAAUCCAUCACGUGUUGAGAGACACCACACAGCCGUGCAAAGAGGACGACAAUGAUGCAUCAAAUCGAUCUGUACACAUAAGAUCAGCAAGAUGGGUACGACGGCGAAAGGGGCCAACCACCAACACGUCACCGCUGGAUAGAGUUACACAAGGAAGUGGUGAAGUGAAUCGCAAAUGAACUCUGAACAUGCUUCCGUGAUAAGUUGAGGCUUAUGGGGAAUCAGAAGAAUACUUUUGAGUGCAAAAACAUAAAUUAAGUAUCUGGCAAACUGAAUGAUGGGAUGUUACACAACCACUGUAGACUGACUUACUAAUGUUUAAUACAAUACUUAUUUUGCUAUUUCUCACAAUGUAAGAUCUAGCACACAUGCUUUGACGGAAUACAUAACAUAUAUCCACAAGAAUAAUAGGAUUAGUUUUUUCAAAUGGAAACAAAUAUAUUACCUCAACUUCUUACAUGUAGAAAUAUUGUUAUUGUCUUCAGACCAAGCAUCACAUUUCCUUGCACAGACUGAAUACUCAAGUUACAUGUCAGUCCUAGUGCUUGAUUCAUGUUAAGAUGUAGACCUUGGAAGUACACGGACUGAAUACUCAAGUCCCAUGGUAGUCACAGUAACUCUUUAGAUAUAAAAAAUAUAGGUGUUCUCUUAAGAAAAAAAAGAGGUGCAGACCACAAACUUUACACUGAAUACUCCAGUUACAUCAAGACCACCACAUCAGAACCUCCUAAACUGAAGCAAAGUGAUUUAUCAGUCAAUCUUAUCGUGUUCCCAUUCCCUGUAUGACAUUCCCUUUUUUGUAUCUUUUGCCGAGAUAUAUAUCUUCAGACACCUUGCUAAAGUACAAAUGAAAAAUCCCCUUUUGUUAGACUAAAAGAAGGCUAUUCUGAAACUACAUCACCAGAAUCCAGGAACACCGCAGAUGGGGUAGUUGUAACAGUAAUCCUAAACUGGGACAUGCAUUAGACUAUAUAAUUAUUACUCGGCAAAAUACACUUUCCAUAAAAAUUAAUUACUGAGCUCAAGAAAACCUACUCAAGAUGGAUGGAACCAACAUUCUUCAGCUACACACAGAUUGAUGCAAAAUGAAUAGCUACCUAGGCCAGAUAUUGAAUCAAAAGUCAUUGAUUUAUCGAGCAGUGCAGAAAGUAAAAAAACUGAACAUGUGACCAUCUCCAAGCUCAUAAAGCGAGCACGAAACCUGAAAUUUAUCUAACAUGAGGCCAACAACAGAACUGGCCGAUCAUAGAUUUUCCUUCCUAAUGAAGCCAAGCCCCAAAUACUCUUAUCCAUACACAAAAGAACAAAACAUCAACAUUCCAUGCACAAAGGAACAAGUGUUGGCCCUACCAGGAAGGGACAAAAGGCAAGGCAACC